rnacentral:rRNA from 1 species
GUAACAAGGUCUCCGUUGGUGAACCAGCGGAGGGAUCAUUACUGAGUACUACACUCUCUACCCUUUGUGAACUAUUAUACCUGUUGCUUCGGCGGCGCCCGCGAGGGUGCCCGCCGGUCUCAUCAGAAUCUCUGUUUUCGAACCCGACGAUACUUCUGAGUGUUCUUAGCGAACUGUCAAAACUUUUAACAACGGAUCUCUUGGCUCCAGCAUCGAUGAAGAACGCAGCGAAACGCGAUAUGUAAUGUGAAUUGCAGAAUUCAGUGAAUCAUCGAAUCUUUGAACGCACAUGGCGCCUUCCAGUAUCCUGGGAGGCAUGCCUGUCCGAGCGUCGUUUCAACCCUCGAGCCCCCGUGGCCCGGCGUUGGGGAUCUGCCACGGCAGGCCCCUAAAACCAGUGGCGGACCCGAAGGCCCUCUCCUUUGCGCAGUAGCAUCAGCCUCGCAUUGGGAUCCCUCGGCGUCCUGCCUCUAAACCCCCCACAAGUCCGCUCCGGCGGCACCAAGGUUGACCUCGGAUCAGGUAGGAAUACCCGCUGAACUUAAGCAUAUCA